rnacentral:rRNA from 1 species
GGAAAGCCCGACGGAGCAAUACCGCGCGAGGGAGGAAGGCUGUUGGGUCGUAAACCUCUUUUUUCAGGGAAGAGAAAAAUGACGGUACCUGAGGAAUAAGCAUCGGCUAACUCCGUGCCAGCAGCCGCGGUAAUACGGAGGAUGGAGCGUUAUCCGGAAUGAUUGGGCGUAAAGCGUCCGCAGGUGGCAGUGCAAGUCUACUGUCAAAGGUCGGGGCUCAACCCCGAACAGGCAGAGGAAACUGCACCGCUUGAGGGCGGCGGGGGCAGAGGGAAUUCCCAGUGUAGCGGUGAAAUGCGUAGAGAUUGGGAAGAACACCCGUGGCGAAAGCGCUCUGCUGGGCCACACCUGACACUCAUGGACGAAAGCUAGGGGAGCG